GUGGGGAAUAUUGGACAAUGGGCGAAAGCCUGAUCCAGCCAUGCCGCGUGUGUGAAGAAGGUCUUCGGAUUGUAAAGCACUUUAAGUUGGGAGGAAGGGCAGUAAGUUAAUACCUUGCUGUUUUGACGUUACCGACAGAAUAAGCACCGGCUAACUUCGUGCCGGCAGCCGCGGUAAUACGAAGGGUGCAAGCGUUAAUCGGAAUUACUGGGCGUAAAGCGCGCGUAGGUGGUUUUGUAAGUUGGAGGUGAAAUCCCCGGGCUCAACCUGGGAACUGCCUCCAAAACUGCAUGACUAGAGUACGGUAGAGGGUAGUGGAAUUUCCUGUGUAGCGGUGAAAUGCGUAGAUAUAGGAAGGAACACCAGUGGCGAAGGCGACUACCUGGACUGAUACUGACACUGAGGUGCGAAAGCGUGGGGAGCAAACAGGAUUAGAAACCCGUGUAGUCC
rnacentral:rRNA from 1 species